rnacentral:rRNA from 1 species
UGAGGAAUCUUGGACAAUGGGCGCAAGCCUGAUCCAGCCAUGCCGCGUGAGUGACGAAGGCCUUAGGGUUGUAAAGCUCUUUUGGCGGGGAUGAUAAUGACCGUACCCGCAGAAUAAGCCACGGCUAAAUUCGUGCCAGCAGCCGCGGUAAUACGAAUGUGGCAAGCGUUGUUCGGAAUCACUGGGCGUAAAGAGUACGUAGGCGGUUUGAUAAGUCAGGAGUGAAAUCCCAGGGCUCAACCCUGGAACUGCUUUUGAAACUAUCAGACUAGAAGCUCGGAGAGGUUGGCGGAAUUCUCAGUGUAGAGGUGAAAUUCGCAGAUAUUGAGAGGAACACCAGUGGCGUAAGCGGCCAACUGGACGAGUAUUGACGCUGAGGUACGAAAGCGUGGGGAUCAAACAGG